rnacentral:rRNA from 1 species
AGGGAGAUUGUUGGAUUCGUCUGACAUGAAACCGGCGCACGGGUGCGUAACACGUAUGCAACCUACCUUUAACUGGGGUAUAGCUCAGAGAAAUCUGAAUUAAUCCCCCAUAAGACUACGACAUGGCAUCAUGAUGUAGUUAAAGCUCCGGCGGUUAAGGAUGGGCAUGCGGUACAUUAGCUAGUUGGUGAGGUAAUGGCUCACCAAGGCUACGAUGUAUAGGGGGUCUGAGAGGAUGAUCCCCCACACUGGUACUGAGACACGGACCAGACUCCUACGGGAGGCAGCAGUAGGGAAUAUUGGUCAAUGGACGCAAGUCUGAACCAGCCAUGCCGCGUGAAGGAUGAAGGCCCUAUGGGUCGUAAACUUCUUUUAUUAGGGAAGAAAAAAUGGGAUGCGUCCUAUACUGACGGUACUUAAUGAAUAAGGAUCGGCUAACUUCGUGCCAGCAGCCGCGGUAAGACGAAGGAUCCAAGCGUUGUCCGGGAUUUACUGGGUUUAAAGGGUGCGUAGGCGGAAAAUUAAGUCAGUGGUGAAAGCCCGCAGCUCAACUGUGGAACUGCCAUUGAAACUGGUUUUCUUGAAUAUAGCUGAGGCAGAUGGAAUAUAACAUGUAGCGGUGAAAUGCUUAGAUAUGUUAUAGAACACCNAUUGCGAAGGCAGUCUGCUAAACUAUUAUUGACGCCUGAGGCACGAAAAGCGUGGGGGAGCGAACAGGAUUAAAUACCCUGGUAGU